rnacentral:rRNA from 3 species
AUCGCAACGAUUGCGACCCCGGGUCAGGC